UUCAGUUUUGUCUCAGAUUGGAGACUCUUUUGCCUUCCGAAGCUCAUCGAAAUCGGCUCGUGGUCGUGGAAGCUUGUGGCUAGCUCGUGCUCAGUGUCGCUGCUCCAAAGAAGAUUUGAAUAGUCAUGAGUCAACAAGAGCCUUCAAAA